GCGGGUAUAGUUUAACGGUAGAAUAUCUGCCUUCCAAGCAGAAGAUGAGGGUUCGAUUCCCUCUACUCGCU
rnacentral:tRNA from 1 species